rnacentral:rRNA from 1 species
GACGAACGCUGGCGGCGUGCUUAACACAUGCAAGUCGAACGGAAAGGCCUGCUUUCCCUUGUGUAUUGCGGGUACUCGAGUGGCGAACGGGUGAGUAACACGUGAGUGAUCUGCCCCCAACUUGGGUAUAAGCCUGGGAAACUGGGUCUAAUUCCCGAUAGGACUGCAGGGUGGUGCCUGUGGUGGAAAACGAUUUUCUAGUGGUUGGGGAUGAGCUCGCGGCCUAUCAGCUUGUUGGUGGGGUAAUGGCCUACCAAGGCGGCGACGGGUAGCCGGCCUGAGAGGGUGGGCGGGCACAUUGGGCCGGAGACACGGCCCAGACGCCUACGGGAGGCAGCAGUGGGGAAUAUUGAACAAUGGGCGGAAGCCUGAGGGAGCGACGCCGAGUGGGGGAUGACGGCCGUCGGGUUGUAAACUCCUUUCGACAGCGAGGAAGCCACCUGGUUGGAAGGGUGGUGACGGUAGUGGUAGAAGAAGCACCGGCUAACUACGUG